AUUUGAUCAUCAUUGUCGGUGGCUCAACAACUGUGUUGGGAGGAAGAACUAUAUUACCUUUAUAUCACUGAUGGCUACCAGCUUGGUCUGGCUUGUUACUGAAGCUGGAGUUGGAAUUGCUGUUCUGGUACGAUGCUUUGUGAACAAAAAGAACAUGGAGGCUGAAAUAGUUGAUAGACUAGGGAAUGGUUUCUCACUGGCCCCAUUUGCAACUGUUGUGGCUGUAUGUACUGCCGUUUCAUUGCUAGCGUGUGUGCCCUUAGGAGAGCUUUUCUUUUUCCACAUGAUACUCAUAAGAAAGGGCAUUACAACAUACGAGUAUGUAGUUGCUAUGAGAGCCAUGAGUGAGGCACCUGGGGG
rnacentral:misc_RNA from 1 species